rnacentral:lncRNA from 1 species
AUUAGGUUGGUGUGUGUUUGAAUCUUCUUAAGGGUGUGUUCGUUUGGUAAGAUUUGGAGGAGAUGAUUUGGGAGAGAUGAUUUAAUGGAUUUGAGUGGAUUUGAAGAUAAUUUUUGUAGUUUUUUUGAGUGGAUUUGUGGGUGAUUGAGAGUAGAUUUGAGGGUAAAGUUUGUGAGAAUUAGUGUAGGAUUUGAUUGAUGUGACAAAUUUAAAAAAUUAGUUUAAUUGGUAAAAAUUGAAGAUUACCAAUAUGCCCCUACGUAUUAAAGUAAUAUAAUGAUAUAUUUAAUUUGUUUAAUG